rnacentral:tRNA from 1 species
CAGUAGCUGAGUGGAUAACGCGAUGGCGUUUCAAGCGAAAAGUAUUGGGUUCGAGUCCCAGAAUGAA